rnacentral:tRNA from 1 species
GAGAAAGGCCCGUAGGCAAUAAGCACUGCUAAUUCUUUCCCCCACGGUUAAACUCCGUGGCUUUCUCG